UAGCUUGUCUCUCUCUUACGUUUACUCAAAGUCUUUCAGGAUCUUUACUUUUAAAAAGUCUCUCAAAGCCUCUCUUUCUCUUUGAACCAUUCAAAAUAUUCUCUUUCAGACACAGUCUCAAAGAAGUUAACUCUUGGUUCCAAUUUGUGCUUUUUCUUUCUUCCGGUAAGUAACGUUCACUUCCUAUGGCGGAGGAGAGGAGACUCAACUUCAACGCACCUCUUCUUUCAACCAGGCGGAUGCACAGCACAGCUGUCUCUGUCCGCAGAAACAAGAGUAAUAACUUCACUCUUGAGAUUGGUUUAGAUGAUGAGGUUACUGAAGCCGCCUCUGUUCCUUUCACAUGGGAGCAAUCUCCCGGGAGACUAAAAGGACAUGAUUCCAAACCUCAGAAAGUAGUCUGUGAUCAAGUCGUCACGCCGUGUCUUCCACCGGGGAAAGUGAUGGAGAAAACCUUAGAUGGAAACCUGCGUUCAAAGGUUGAAGAAGGGUCAGAGGAUGUGUUUUCUGAUGCACGUGAUACACUCUCUUACUCCAUAACUGGUGUGAGUGGAUAUGGUGUUGUUGAGACCAAGAACCCUUUUGAGGAUCUUCAGUCACGAGAUUUCAUGUUAAACCGUUUCUUACCAGCUGCUAAAGCCAUGACUGUGGAGCAGCCUCACUAUGGAUCCAACCGUAAACCAUCCACUUUCAUGCCUGAACCAACGAUACAAAUAAGAGAUUUAGUACCAGAGGAGAAGCGGCAAACUCCUAAUAGGUAUGGUGACCAUCACCAAGACAUAGAUGCUGAAGAAAGCGUGGAUGAUGAUGAUGAUAUUUCAAGGAGAGGUUGUGGUAUGUUGCCACAGUUUUGCUUUAAAGAAUCUGUAACCAUGGUAUGUUUUAAAUCCAAACAAAAGUCUCCAAGCAAGGCUUCUCAACUCAAAUCUCGAUUCCAAUCUAUCAAACAGUUGGCUCUUGAUUCUGUUUCCAAGCAUAAGUUGGGUGGUAAAGUUCCAUCGCCGGUUCAUCCAAACCUGACUUCUGCUGCAAGUAUGUCUUCAUCUCCUUACAGACACACUAGAUGUAUGUCACCAUUUCGCAACGCUUCUCCGUUUCACCCCGAAACUCGUAAGGAAACCGAGAACAUGAGAGCUAGCAGGUUGAACAAGCAUAUUAGUAACAUAAGCAGGUCUACUCAGGAACUACUCUGUCCAAAAGGCAACGGUUCAAGUAGCUCUCUCUUGGAGAAGACAGUAUAUGUCGACACCGAGGAUUCUCCCAAGACUAAUACUAUGAUCUUUCCAGAGGAAGUAGAGAAGAAACCAGAAACCAAUCUUAAGCCUGAAGAGUUAGAAAAGAUCAAGAAUGGUUCUGGUCGGUCUCCUCUUGCACCACCAUCGCCCAAGAAGCCAUCUGAAUCUUGGCUUUUUCAUAAUCUUCCUUCAGUAGUAAACUCUCCGAGCCCUUCACGUAGAUAUACGUUACAUCCGAGUUUUAAUGAAAACUCAAGGAAUAUUACCAAGUGGGAAACUAUUGUUAAGACUUCUUACAUGCACAGAGAUCAUAUCCGAUAUUCCGAAGAACUGGUUGGUCAUACAUCCCUUCAAUGAGAGUUUGAAGCUUCUUGAGAUGUCAACAGGUUUUAUUAUGCAUGCAUGCGUUUCAGCUUUGAUUAGCAGUUUUGGGUUCUCGUCACUUCAUUCACCUGUGUAAACAAAAUAAACUCGUCUCGUCACUCACAAUUCAGUAAGACUUUAGAAACAAAUGAAGUGGAAAACUAAUGGCUUGAGUUAGUGUUGCCGGCCCAACAAAAGUCUAAUGUAUUAUUAAAUUCAAGAAAGACAAAAGAUUCCACUUGCCUGCUCCUCUAGGCAAUGUACUACUACUUAUGCUUCUCGGAUGUCAGCUUCAAGAAUGAACAAACCUUAUGUCCUUUGUCAGAUGGUGUUAGUUAUAUUUACUACGUAGAUACAUAUAAUGAUAUAACAGCUUAGG